rnacentral:lncRNA from 1 species
GGAAAUCUAGAAGUUUCCAUGUAAAUUGAACCUGACCGUGGUUUAAGCCAAACUGAAUAUUAACCAAAACAUUAGGAGAUAGAAGAAGCAAAACAACCCCAAAAAUCUCUCUCCUCGAUCGCAGGUUGCGAUCUCUUCUUCCUUAAACCUCCGGCCACCGCUUGAUAGCUGCCAGAUGCUAGACAACGCAAUAAAAAUCGGUGAAUAGAAAUCGGCGAGCAAGGACCUAGCGAUCGACGACUACUAGGUAACUCAUUUUUUUUUAUCCAUAUCCAUUGAUCUUAGUAGGAUUUUACAAUCUUUGCAUCUUGUAGCAAGUUCUUGUUCCUUCUGCCAUUUUCUGAACAAGAUCCAAAAUCCAAAUUUCACACCAAAAACUAAUAUUAGAUAAUACCCAAAAUCCACAAGUAGCAAAAUAUAUCAUAUCUAAGAGAGAUAUGGAGAGGAAACAUUUAUAGGGAAAUAAAAACAGGAAGAAGAAGAAAAGCCAACAUGAAAAAAUCCUAGUUUUGUUAACUUGAACUCUUUUCUGAGUAAACCUUUAAAAAUACCUUGAAGUUUGCGUUCGAUUAUAAUUGCAUCGUAUUCUUAAAUUAACUCCUUUUUUUAUUUUAUUUUUAUUUUAUUUUUAUUUUUUUUGAAAGAGGAAAAAUAUUCAUUCACUCAAGGAAAAAAUUCCGAAGACAAUCAGGGAUUCGAUCCCAAAUCUGUGUACGAGCAAAACGAUAAGACGCUCUAGUAAGAGUAUGAGCGUUAAUAUUCGCUUGCCUACGUAACCAAAUGAUCUUAAUAUCAGGUUUAGUAUCUAGAAUGAACUUACAAUCGAACAUAACAAUACCGAAAUAAGAUAAAUCUAAUACUUUAGACUUUAAAGCACGAAAAACUAAAGGAGAGUCUAGAUAAAUAAAUCCAUAACCAUAUCAAAAGUCACGGAUGUGGACUAGACAAGCACGAAGAGCAACAGCUUCAAUAAUAGAAGGAUCACCACUGCCAUCAUAGUAUCCUGAAACUGCUUGAAGGAAAUGACCAUCAUCAUCUUCAAAAACAAACCCAUAACCAGCAAGUCCCACGGCUUGGAAAAUGGCCCCAACCACAUGCACAUGCCAUGAAGAGUUAAUACCUGCAGUGAUGUUUUGAACACUAGGAGGUGACCAAGGACCAUUUAGUUGGUCCACUUGUGAUUGUGCUAUUAACCAAUCAUCAUAAAACUUGCAUGCCUUUGCAUGGGUCACGUUAGGAGGAAUAAAAGUUUGUUUCCAUAUGCCUUGAUUUCUUGCUGACCAAAUAGACCAAGCUAGAAUAGAGAAAACACCCCAUUUUUCUUUGUUUGCUCUUUCCAGUACCUGCAUAAAAGGAUCAACAAAACUAUGAUUAGUUAAGAACUCUUGGAAGCCCGCCACCCUCCAAACUCCUUUGGCUCUUUGACACGUCACAAGGGCAUGGUCAAUAUCUUCUUCAUCUCCACAAAAAGAGCGUCGCACAUCAAUAGUAACUCCCCUCCUACUCAGCCUUUCUUUAGAAGGAAGAAUACCCCUCAAAGAUCUCCACAUAAAGUCUUUAACUUUUGGGGGACAUUUAAAUUCCAUAAGGAUUUCCACCACACUCCUCCCAGAUGAUCAACCCCCCUGCCCACUACCCUCAAAGCCACAUCAUAGCCACUCUUGACUGAAUAAUACUCCUUUUUAUCAAAAUGCCAAGUCAUAUGAUCCUGCCUAUUAAAUAAGCUUAGUGGGAUUUUUAAAAUCGAUUCAACAUCCCUCGGGUGGAAAAGCAAAAGAAGCUUCUCAAUGUCCCACACUCUUUGUCCAUUUUUAAUAAGCUCACAUACUCUCAAAUUUUCAUCGAUAAACCCAAAUUCAUUAUUCACAAAAAAAUUCUCGUCUCUCGGCAGCCAAGGGUCUUUCGCUAUCCUGAUGUCCUCACCAUUACCUACUCUCCAUAUAAACCCACAUUUUAAUAGUCCUUGAGUAGACACAAUACUCUUCCAAAUAAAACUAGGACUUCUCCCUAGUUGAGCCUCUAGAAAAUUCCCGUAAGGAAAAUAUUUAGCUUUGAAAAUCUUAUAAAAAAGAGUAGUGUUUUGGUUAAGCAACCUCCAACCUUGUUUCCCAAGCAUAGCCAUAUUAAAACUAUGGAGAUCUUUAAAACCCAUACCCCCUGCCAUCUUUUUCCCACACAUCCUAUCCCAAGACAACCAAUGGAGACUUCUACUACCUCCCUCCUUCAAACCCCACCAAAAUUUAUUCAUAAUUUUUCGAAGGUCAUCACAAAUACGCAUUGGUAUCAGAAAUACACUCAUGCAAUAAGAAGGAAUAGCUUGAGCUACAGACUUGAUAAGUACCUCCCUACCUGCCCUAGACAAGAAACGAUGAGACCAAUUAUUAAGUUUGUUCCAAAGUCUAUCCUUGACAAAAUUAAACACAUUUCUCCGAUUCUUUCCCACCAAACACGGCAAACCCAAAUAAAAACCCCUUUGUAGGCACGUAGAAACAUCAAGGAUAUCUGAUGAAACCUGCCUUUGGGAUUGAGAUACAUUUGCACUAAACAUAAUGGUGGACUUAUUGAAAUUCACCGCUUGACCUGAUGCUUUUUCAUAAAUUGUAAGUAAUUCUUUAACACAAUUUGCUUCCUCCCUGCUAGCCUCAAGGAAAAAAAGAGAAUCGUCGGCAAAUAACAGAUGAGAAAUUCGAGGACAACCUCUCCCCGCACUACCGCCAUUCAACAUCCCUCUUCUUUCCGCAUCAGAAAAUAAUAGUGAUAGGCCCUCUGCACAGAUCAAAAAAAGGUAUGGUGAAAUAGGAUCUCCUUGGCGAAGACCUCUCUCAGGAUGGAGAGGGCCAAUAACAUUAUCAUUUAAUAGGAAAGAGUAGCUAACCUUGGUCACACACAUCUCCAUCCCCCGCACCCACACAUCACAAAAGCCGAGAGUUCGGAGCAUAUCAAUUAAAAAAUCCCAAUUAACUCUAUCAUAAGCUUUGCUAAUGUUAACCUUCAAUGCACAGAAACCCUUACCAUGUUUAAUCCGACCCAUAUUAUGCAACAUUUCAAAAGCCACACAUAUAUUAUCAGUGAUUAGAAGACCCGAUACAAAAGCAGACUGACUCUCCGAAAUAAUCUUAGGCAAAACAGUGUUUAAUCUAUUGGCUAAGGCUUUAGAGAGAAUUUUAUAUAACACAUUACAUAAAGAGAUGGGUCUAAACUGUGAUAACUGAACUGGUGAAACAGUUUUGGGAAUUAAUACUAUCAGAGUAUCACACAAAGAGUCAGGGAGGGUACCUUGUUGAAGCCAUAAUCUACACCCAUUGCACACAUCUGGACCAAUCACGUGCCAGAAUCUCUGAAAGAAAGCUGAAUUAAGGCCGUCCGGGCCGGGAUCAGGAUGCAUUUGGAAGGUUGCUUCUUUAACUUCUUCAUCCGUUAGACUGGCUGUUAAAAAGGAAUUGUCGUUACGGGUUACCCUCGGCUGAACUAGAUUAAGAAGCUCCUCUCUGCUGGACACAUCUUUCUGAAACAAUUUGCCAAAAUAGUCCAAAACUAAAUUUUGGAUCCCAUCAAUAUCUAUAGCAAACGUCCCAUCUUCAUAUUGCAGCUUCUUUAUUCUAUUACUCCGCUUUCUAUUUUUUAUUUUUGAAUGGAAAAAUUUACUGUUCCUAUCUCCUUGUGUGUACCAAAAUUGUUUUGCACAUUGUUUCCUACGCAAGUCCUCCUGAAGUUGCAGAUUUGACCAUUCAACCUUAAUAUCCGAUUCAUUAGAAAACCCAAUACUAUUCUUCCCAUUUUCCAGCAAAUUCUUCGACCAAAUCUUUUUUUUCCAAUAAGCGUUAUUUCUAGCACGACCCUACCUUUUUAGACUUUGAAUGCAACAAACUUUCUUCUCCAUCACGGUCCCUCUACUAGCUUGCCAUGCCGACUCUACCACUUCAUGCAAUUCUUCAUCUGCUAGCCAUCCAUUAUCAAAGCGGAAAGGCUUACUUCUAUUCCCAUAACUUCUAGCUUCCGUUUCCACUAGCAGAGCUACAUGGUCCGAUACCGGAGUAACAACAGUUCUAGUCAAAGCUUCUGGAAAUAGACCCGACCAAGCAAAAUUAGCCAUAGCCCUCUCUUCCUAGUCAGAAUCUCUUUAUUCCUCUUCAUACUCCAAGUGUAUUUGUAACCCAAUGCAGGCAAGUCACUGAUGUCACAGUCUUCAAUAAUUGCCUGAAACCCAUUGAGUGAGAAACGCGGAUACAGACCACCGCCUAACUUUUCAUCCUCUGUCAAAAGAUUGUUAUAAUCCCCAACACAAAUCCAAGGGCCAUUGCUCCUAGCUGCUAAAGCUCGAAGCAGAUUCCAAGAGGUUCUACGCUUGUUACGGUCAGGAAUCCCAUAAAAGCCAGUAAAGCGCCAAGGGUUAUUAUUAGUACUCAAAUUACAAUCAAUACAAUUUUGAGAAAAUCCAGUUAUUACCAAAUUAACAUUCUUGUUCCAGAGCAACGAAAGACCACCACUUCUCCCGAUAUAAUCCACACUAAAACAAUUAUCAAAACCCAAAGAAACCUUCAACUCAUCCAUUCGAGAACUAACCACUAGCAUCUCCAUAAGGAAGAUCACAUCCGGCUGAAAACUUAGAGAUAAAUCUCUAAGCGCACUAACUGCCCGAGGGUUGCCCAGCCCUCGGCAGUUCCAGCUAAGAAUUUUCAUUGCUGUCAGCUAUCCCGCUUAUCGGGAUCAGUCGCUAUCAUAGUUUCUUGUAAUAGGGAUGAGACAUUAGAGGUGGAAAUCAAUUCUGUCUGCAUGGAUACUACAUCACUGUUGGUUGAGUUACAACGAUGUCGUUUCUUAUGUUCAUCCAUUUUAGCCAAUAUUUCUUCUUCACCAAGACCCACCCUGCUCUCCAGACCCAAUGAAAAUCUGUCUGUCUCCAUAAGAUUACCUCCCACAUAAUCUGAACCCAAUGUAGUUUUUAGGCCAAAUAAGGAAAGCCUAAAAUCUUCAGAUGUGAGCAUAUUACUAGUUCCACUAUUUACUCCCAUAAACUAAGAUUCAGGCAUAGUACUUAGAUUGUUGUCAUUGUCACGCAACCACCAGCUCCGGUUAUUGCUCCUCCAGUACGGCUGAACCCUAAGCUUGUCAUCCCACAUAUAUACCAAAUCCUCUUUCUUAUGAUGCAACCGGAGAUCACAUGGCCGAUUCUUCCACGUAGAAAAUAGUAGAUCUGAUUUUUUCAUACCUGAAUUUCACAUAGAACGCAUUACCCGUGUUAUCCGCAAUCUUCUUCUUUUGCUUUAGAGGUAAACGAAUGUCCAUCCUUACUCUGAUGCGCAUAAAGUCAUCCAAACCCGAAACAUUUUUACCAAUCCCAUAUUCAAGAAAUUCACCAAUAAAGUUGCUUAGUAGUUUGGCCAUAUCGUCCCUCAUGUACCCAGGGGGAACGUCUAUGACCUGUACCCAGAGGUUUGUUUGAAAUAACGAAAUCUUGAGCGGAUCUUCUCCACGUUGAAACAUGCUCCAGACUAAUAAAUGACGAUUGAACAACCACGAUGCUCCAUCCAGAACUCUAUCUAGAUCAACUUGGUUAUAGAAACAGAAUAGGUAGCGUUUAGCACCAAGAUCAGAAAUGGAAAUACCUCCUAAAGGGUGCCAAAGAUCUGCUAGUGUUGUCGUCAUCGCUCGGAAGUUUAUCACAUUAUAAGUCAAAAACAUUCCAACCAAACAAAAAUCUUCCACUGCCGCCUGAGCUAUUUCUGGAGCCGCCACAACCUGAUCUUCCUCCUCCUCACGAGCAAGGGAAAGAAGAUAUAGAUCGAGAUCCAUAACCAGUGAUGUUUAUGGUUUCAUGGAAACCUUUGAACAAAGCUUGAAGAAACUUGAAAAACGAGAAAAAGAAAGGAGGCAUGCACUAUGGUUGAAAAUCGAGGAAAAAGAAAAGAGGCGUGCACUAUGGCAGACAAAGCAUGCCUAUGGUAGAGAAAAUGGUUGUUUGACAGUUAACUCCUUAAGCAUCAUAAUUUGCAACUUUUGUGAUAAUUUUGAACCCCGAUCGAAAUCUCUCCUUUAAAAAUGAUUAAAAUAAUAUUUUGUGGGUUUUAUGGUCUGCUCUUGAGUUAAAUAACUACCUAGGUUAUUGUUAAAAACGCAUCAUUUUGAACUUAACCUAACCCAAAAAAUAUUCCCCUCUUCACCGAAUCUAAACUGUAAACUCGAGCCCCCAGCUUCUCUCUUCUCUUCAAUUUGCCGAUCUAAUUCUUCAAUGUCGCUCUCUAGCUCCACAAAUUUAACAACAAACAAGUCGACUAUAUUAUGUGGGUGCAGACAAUGAGCACGUUUGUCAACUUUGUGGAGGAGAUCGAAUCCUGGUAGGAGGUUUUAUGGGUGCCCAAAUUGGAAGGCAAAUUAAAGAAAUUAAUUACUAAUUUUUAUGCCAUACAUAUAUAAUGAAUAAGAUUGUUCGAUGUUUUCAUGGUUAUGGAGUUGUAGGACAAUGGAGGUUGCAAUUUUUUUAUGUGGCAUGAUGAAGAAUACCCUACUAGGACAAACCAUGUGAUCGAUGUAAUUUAUGGUCGUUUAAAAAAGGCAGUGAAGAAGAGCUAAACAUGGUAGAGAAGCAGAAGAAUGAAAUGGAAAUGCAUUUGAAGGGAAUGGAGGUGAAGCUCUUGAAUAAAAAAGAGGGUAUGAAGCAAUUGAAGGUUCAAGUGCAAAAACUAGCAUCACAUAAUAGAAUAUCGAAUUUUUUGUUGUAAUUUUGAUUUGUGGUGUAUGUGUAUCCUAUCUCAGAGAUGGGUGGCUUUUGUAUAUGGGUUUAGUAAAAAUUUGUGGUAUGGUAUUUUGGUUGUUGACGUGUGAUUUUGUCAAGUCCUUGGCAUGUGAACCACAAAAACUAUGAUAUGAAAGUAAAUCACUUUGGUUUCUAUUAAUUGCCAUUGAUUAAUUUAUUGUAUCCAGUAAUCUUUAUUUGGACUAUUCUAAUCUUUAAUAUUAAUGAAUUUAAAAAUGGAAUAAUCUGCUCUAAUCAUGAUAAAUAUAUUGAACACGUAAGGUAACAUAAAAAUACAUAAUAUAUUGCCAAAAUAUUAUUUGAAUACUGUUAAGGAUUAGUUGUAAAUAGAGUUUUAUUAGGAGUUAAAUUCCUAAUUAGUUUAUGAUUUGUAUUCCUAAAUAGCUAGGUAGUAUAGGAAUUCCUUAUAUAUAGACCUAUGUAAUCGAUUGAUAAGAUACAAGAAAUACAAUUACAAUAUAAUCUCUCAACAAAUACAAAAUGUGAAUGGAUGCCUUUUAUCAAUAAUGACUAAAUAUUGAUAAUGAUACACCCAUUACUUGUGUCAGUAUAGACCAAAUUUAUCUAUCCCAUGUUGUACCACAAAUCCAAUUGUAUACCCAAGAAAGUAUGUUAAAACAGCUAAAAAUUUAGUUGCAGUUUCAUUGCAACAUCACAAAAACCAAAAACAACAUGGUCAAUACUAUAUCUUGUAUGCAAACAUCAAAGUUGAUAGCAUGUGCAAAAAAUUUCACUGGUUGUCAACUGCAUAUUUUUCCUCAACAGAAUCAAAAUGCUGCAUGUCGAAUUAUCACUGUCCUAGCGUGGUUGGAGAGGAGGCUGACAUGAGUUGACACCAUAUUCCAAAUGUUCUUCUAGUGCUUGGGUUGUAGGUGGAGCAUUUUGGGGCAGAGUUUUUUUUUUUCUUUUUCCUGACUACACUGCAUUUCUUCCUUGCUACAUCUGCAGUUGCUUAUCUUCCACUAAGAUUCCUCGCCUUGUUAGAUCCAUGCAUCUGCAAUAAUGACAGGAUGUUAACAUCAACACAAGACAACACAUGUGCCUCUUAAUUUCAAAGAAGUUGAAACACAAAACAACAAAGUACCCUAACAUAAAUGUUUCCAGUCUCUAUCGCAAUAUCAAUACCAAAUCCUUCCUCACAGUUGUUGAUGAUGGUCUUGCUGCACUUGUACCAUUUAAGGUGGAAGUUGAGUUUUCUUGAUUUUUUUCUUGGCCUUCCAACCUUCCCCUAAAACAAGAACCAUCAAACAAAAACAAUCAGAAGCAAUUAAGAAGUACACAAAUGAACUGACUAUUGUAAAUGACUUACAGAUUUAGGGUCUCUAGGAGCAAGUGGCUACUCUAUUUUGGGACACCCUCUUUUGUUGCGACCCCAUUCCAAGCAAUGUUGGCACCUCAUCAUGAGACCUUUUCUUCUCAUUCUUAAAGUUCCACGUUGUCCGUCCUCAGCAUAUUUCAUUCUUGCAGUUUUGGGUCUUCCUGGUUUCUUCACAUAAUCAGGUGGCAAGAUUGGGUCCUAUUCAGUAGGUCAAAUGUCUUGGUCAUUCAAAGGUGUAAGGCCAUUCCCAUAUGUCAUUCAGUAAGUCACAUGUCUUGGUCAUUCAAAGGUGUAAGGCCAUUCCCAUAUGUCAUCUUAUAAUAUCCCCUCUUGAGGUAGUCAUCCACAUAAUCCAAUAAGACAUGUCUCAUGUAGUGUAUGCAAGCAAUAGCAUGAGUGCACGACACACUUGAUAGUUGUCAUGCCCUACAUGAGCACACUCUGUCUGCAAGUGACACAACAAAAGCACUUCCCCUAACUUGAACUUGGAAAUUAUUGCCAUUGGAUGGUCUUGGCACGCAUCUUGCAAUUCAAGCUUCCUUAGCUCUAUUUUCUCCCUUAUCUUAUAUCCAACUCCAUCAUUCCACUUGUGUACUGCUUCUCUAUUAAAGUAAUUUCUCUCCAUAAUUCUUGUCCUUAUGUCUUCUAACAUCAUGAUGAGAGGCAUUAUCCUUGCAUAUCCUAAUGUAAAUAUUAAAAACCUCUGCAAUAUUACUUAUCACAUCAUCAACCUUUGGAAGAGUUCAAUGAAAAGCCCUACAAAACCUAGCUUAUUAUCAACCACAACAUUUUUCAGCUUCUUCUUAUUCUCCUUUGCAAUUAGGAAUUCCUCAUCAUCCUUGUCAGAUAGUGCUACUAAACUGACAUCACUGUCUUCUUCUACAUUUUGGUACUCAACAUCAUGGCCUUCUAUAUUAACAUUGAAGAAGUCAUCAACUGAUGCACUAUUCUAAGCUUCUUCAAUAACAACACCUUCCUCUUCUACUUCUUCAUGUUCAGUUGGUUGAGAAGGUGCUUCUUCUACCUCAUCUUGCUGCACUAUUACUUCUUCAACCUCAUUGUGUAUUGUAUUUCUUUUAUAUCUCUUCUUCUGGAAAAGGCUCAUCUCCAUCUAUUAUAAGUCCCCUUUUCCAUGGCCUACAUUAGCCACUCAAUACCAGCUUCAUCCACUACCUGAUCAUACGCAUAAGGCUCCUCAUCACUAACAUAAUUUUUAUUUUUAAAGUCCUUGUUCUCCUCUAAUUGAAUAUCUGUCUCAAUGUACACCUUCAACCGAUUUAAUUCUUGCCCUUUCUCAAACAUUGAUCUAAUGUCUUUCAUCAGUCUUGCAAAUCUUUACAGACCUCCCGUUUUCCCUUGGUACAAUGUAGUCUAUACUUUGAAUUUCCCUAUAUCCCACUCUUUUAAAACUCUUCCUCCAAUAUAGUUAAUGUUCUUCCUAUUAUUCAAUUUACCACCAACCCAUAUUUCAAAUGGGAAUCUUUUUCACAUAUGCAAUUAAUGAAAUAAGACAUAAUGUACUUUAAUAGGCAAAGCACAAAUACAACACAAGGACAUGAAUUUAUUACCCACAACCACCUAUUGCUACUGUCAUAGAUAGUAAUAAACUACAAGUAUUCAUGCCACUAACAGCUGUGAGUUUGUUUAAUGGCUAAAAAGCUCACCUUGUGCUUACUAUUUCCUAAUAUUUGAACUAACAAAGCACAACAUAUGCGUACCUUUUCCUAAUAUUUAAACUAACACAUGCUUUGCUUUUAUAGUUCAUUUCAAUGUUAAAAUAUUCCCAACAUCACAUUUUGCACACAAUACCCAAUCCGACAUAACCAUAAAAUAUCACACCCACUAUCUAUUUUAAAUCAAAGAUUUUCACAUCCCAAAGCAUCAUUAUGCACUAAAAAACAACUAUAGAGUUAGUUUGUAGUGUGGGACUUACUAAUCUUUUGUCUGCUUCUUCCCUCUUGCCAUUUCAGUUUCUGUAACCUCCUCUCCGCUCCAAAUACCACUUGAGCCACCAAGGAGAUCAAUUGAAGAAGAUAAUCGAGUAUAAUAGUACCAAUGAUUUAGGAAACACUGAGGUUUGUGUUUUGUCUAGUUCAAAUUGACAAGGGCUCCAUGGUUUAGGGCUCGUCUGUUGUUCAUUUCACUAUUUAGGGUUCCGCUCAAAUUAUUUGGGGUUACCUAAACCCUCUAAGUCGAAAUGCAACGUUUUGUUUAACUCCACUGGUGAAAUUUUUACUCUACAUCAAACGGUGGGUCCCACAAAAUAUUAUUUUAAUCAGUUUUAAAGGACAUAUAUCAAUUAGGGGUUUAAUUAAUACAAAAGUUGCAAAUUGGGGUGCCCGAGGAGUUAACUUGAGAAUAAGGUGCAAUUAUAGCGAGACGCAAACUUCAAGGUAUUUUUAAAGAUUUACUCAAUCUGUUUUUCUUUAAAUGGGCUGCAAUGCAAAUUCAGGUUUUUGAAUUCGAAGUGCAUAAAGUGCUAGUGUGUAGUUUGCAUUAUCAAUUCUAAUUCUUGAAAAUUAGAUAUAUUUAAUCUAAUAUUAUUGACUAUUGCUUUGUUUGGAUGAAGGAAUGAUGUAAAACAAGGGAGAAUGUAAAAUGAGGGAGUAAUGUUAUUCACUUUACAUCCUUAUUUUACACUUUUUAUUAGGAGCGGAAGGAAAAUAAGUAGGAGGGAGUAAAAUAAAUUUAUUUUACUUUGUUUGAAAGGACAAAUAAUAGAUGAAAGGAAA